rnacentral:lncRNA from 1 species
AUCGAUUUAGUUAUUCAAACCGAAUCAAAUGUUGAUUAGGAUGAGAUCAAUAGAGCUUAAGAUCAUACAAUUGUUAUUAAUCAAAUCGAUCGACACCCAUAUAUAGAAUCGAUUAACCUAAAAACCUAAUUCGGCUCUAUGGCUCGAAUCUGAUUCACCUAAGCUAACCUAUUUGGAUCAAUUAUCCAAUUGGUGUCUAAGAUAAAUAAUUGAAAGGUGAUUAUUUAAUUAGUUCUCUUCACUGACCU